UACGGAAGGGGGCGAGCGUGUUCGGAAUCACUGGGCGUAAAGGGCGCGUAGGCGGCUGGGGAAGUCGGCGGUGAAAGCCCGGGAGCUCAACUCCGGGUCGGCCGUCGAGACUCCUCGGCUCGAGCUCACUAGAGGCAGAUGGAAUUCCGGGUGUAGCGGUGGAAUGCGUAGAGAUCCGGAAGAACACCGGUGGCGAAGGCGGUCUGCUGGGGUGAGGCUGACGCUGAG
rnacentral:rRNA from 1 species